UAACCGCAGGGAACCUCUGCUGCUGAUAUAUUAUUGAGAAACUUCUAUAUCACAGUGGCUGUUCUUUUUGGUUGC
rnacentral:pre_miRNA from 14 species